GUCAUGGAUACUUGAAUAAGAUGUGUGCUAGCCUGGAACCUUCAGAAUUCCAUCAUAGAUAGGACAAAAUCACAGAAGUGAUCUCCUACCUUUUAGAAAAAUAGCAUUAGCAGUAAAUGGCUGCCGAGGGGAGUUAACGCCAUUCUCUUCAAAGCUGUAACCACUGCUGCAACCUACCAUCCCCUCGACAGAAUCACUGUGAAGCCAGCAAGAAUUGUCAGAACCAGUUUCUUUCGUUAGAGACGUGGAAAGUAGUCCUUGGUUUAUAGCAAGCCUGCAAGUGCUGAAUCAAGAAUAAGGCAGGCCAGGCUUGGAAGUGCUUGCCUGAAAUCCCAUCGCUCAACAAGGAUCCAUCUGUCCUCCCUCCACCUGGCUGAUCCUGUGACUGUACUGGAUGCUCACUCUCUGGUCAUUAAUGAGUACUGAGAAGUGACAACUUGUCCUUGUCAAGCUUUGCACCCCACAACAAGCAAUGCUGUAGCAAAUGGAACAUAACUUCCAGUAGUGAUCUUCUCCAGCUAUGGUCGGCUGAAUCCGGAGAUGCAAAAGCUGGACUCAGAGCACUCAUCUACACAUAUUUAUUGGCAGAAGUUUGCAAACUGGAAAAGGGGGGGGGGAUGGUUCCUGGAUGAGGCUAUAGAGAAGCUGACUGGAAAAUAGGACAACGUGAGUGUUAUUCAACUUUUGAGGCCACUGGGUGCGUAUUACACAAGACUAUAUCACCCUAGGUACCAUGGCUCAAAAACAGAUACAAAGGGGUGCUAGGGUACUGUGUUCCGGGUCAGUGGUCUGGUUUCUCAGAGGUCAGUGAAUCAACUGCUUCUUAUCCUUGGAGGACCAAGUCACUCAGGCUUGUCAUCUAGCAGGGGAAUAGCUCCUGGGUCCCACCUCAGCUGGGCAGAAGCACUGCACAUGCAGCAGAUGAUGCUGUGUAACAGUCUGCUCCUUAGAUGGGAAAGUCCACAUGCUAUCAAACCCCAUCCCCAAUCUCCUGACCACUCCAGCUCUAGCUUGACCUGGCUAGCUUAAGCACUCUAGAGACAGAAUGGACCUGUGCCGUAGCAGAGCUCUCCCCUUAAGCCUGAUCUCAUCAGUGGCUAGGACUUGUAUUGAGGCUCUGUUUGGAGCAUCUCAACUUAAUACUCAUCCUUUACUGUCUGAAUUCUGAUACUAUUAUAUUCAAGGCUUGCUGUCUUGGGAGGAAGAGUUUUGCUGGAUCAGCAUAUUCCCAAAGGCAGUCUACACCUGAGAGUCCCUACCCCAACACUUGGGAGUCUCACUGUGGACUAUUCUUCACCUUCUCUGCUCACUUGACUGCAGAGACAGAUUCCAGACAACUAGUCCCUGACCCUAAGCAUGCUGACAUUCUCCCACUCGCCAGUCCUAAGCCGGCUUGUCCAUCUGUGCUGGCUGGUAUUACGUCAACUUGACACAAGCUAGAGUUAUCUAAAAGGAGGGAACCUCAAAUGAGAAAAGGCCUUCAUAAGAUCCAGAUGUAAGACAUUUUUUUUAAAAUUAGUGCUUGCUGGGGAAGGGCCUAAAACAUUGUGGGUGGUGCCAUCCCUGGACUGGUGGUCCUGGGUUUUAUAAGAAAGCAGGUUGAGCAAGCCAUGGGGAACAAGCCAGGAAGCAUCAUCCUUCAAUGGCCUCUGCAGCAGCUCCUGCCUUCAGUUACCAACCUGCUUGAGUCCCUGUCCUGGUUUCCUCAGUGAUAGACUACAAUGUACAAGUUAAGGCCAAUAAACCCUUUCAUCUCCCACUUGCUCUCUGAUCAUAGUGCCUAAUCACGGGAGUAGGAACCCUAAGACACCAACCUUGGCCACUUAUUCUUCUUGAAGAUGCCAAAGUUCAUGGUGUAAUUCUGUCUUCCCCGUGCAGCCUUUGGUUUGUAACCAAUCUGUGCCUCCAGAUUUGUCCCCUGACUUCUUUUGAUAUGUGUGAGUAAAGGGAACUUUUCCAGU